rnacentral:rRNA from 1 species
GACGAACGCUGGCGGCGUGCUUAACACAUGCAAGUCGAACGGGAUUUAGUAGACAGAAGCCUCGGUGGAAGAUUACUAAUGAGAGUGGCGAACGGGUGAGUAACGCGUGAGCAACCUGCCUAUGACAGUGGGAUAGCCUCGGGAAACCGGGAUUAAUACCGCAUAAAAUCGUAGAAACACAUGUUUCAACGGUCAAAGAUUUAUCGGUCAUAGAUGGGCUCGCGUCUGAUUAGCUAGUUGGUGAGAUAACAGCCCACCAAGGCGACGAUCAGUAGCCGGUCUGAGAGGAUGAACGGCCACAUUGGAACUGAGACACGGUCCAAACUCCUACGGGAGGCAGCAGUGGGGAAUAUUGCACAAUGGGGGAAACCCUGAUGCAGCGACGCCGCGUGAACGAAGAAGGUAUUCGUAUCGUAAAGUUCUGUCCUAUGGGAAGAUAAUGACAGUACCAUAGAAGAAAGCUCCGGCUAAAUACGUGCCAGCAGCCGCGGUAAUACGUAUGGAGCGAGCGUUGUCCGGAAUUAUUGGGCGUAAAGGGUACGCAGGCGGUUUAAUAAGUCGAAUGUUAAAGAUCGGGGCUCAACCCCGUAAAGCAUUGGAAACUGAUAAACUUGAGUAGUGGAGAGGAAAGUGGAAUUCCUAGUGUAGUGGUGAAAUACGUAGAUAUUAGGAGGAAUACCAGUAGCGAAGGCGACUUUCUGGACACAAACUGACGCUGAGGUACGAAAGCGUGGGGAGCAAACAGG